UUACCCAACCAAGAAUCGAACACGGGCCUUCCGCUUGUCAGGCAAGGGUGUUACCAUUUCAUUAUCAAAAC